AACUAAAUAUUCAAAAAUGAUUUUAAAUUGCAAAUUUAAAGGUGAAUAAAAUUCUUUAGUUU
rnacentral:tRNA from 1 species